rnacentral:lncRNA from 1 species
GGAUAUCCAGGCAGAAUACAGAAAAUCCGCCGAGCUGAACAAUAAGAUCGUCCAUAUGUAUGCGAAAGGAUAUGAAAUCUGCCGAAGUAAAGGCAAGAAAAAGCUCGGGCCAAGGUAGAUCCAUCUCUUCUAGACUCUUUAGAUGGUGACGAUGACAAGGAAGAAGCCUGAAGAUGACCUCUCCUUAUCUCUAGUUGUAGAACUUUCUGUGAAAAUUCUAACUUUAUGUAAACAGUUAAUAUUUAAUGAAAUAUCAACUUCAUGCCUUAUUACUUCUGUGUGAACAUUUCUUGUCAAUAAUGGAUCAUCAAUCAACUUGAAAACUGUGCAAGUGCCUCUUAUUUUAAACCGUUAGUCAAUAAUUAAGCAAACUAUAUAACAGUUAAGAACAAUGAUAAUAUAAUCCGAACUCAACACUUGAACAAAAUAAAGUAAUGCAUACUUAUCGUUACCGAAGUGUGAGAUCGGUCAUAUGUGAAGUGAAUUCGGCUGAUCCUCCUUGUACCAUCAAGAUCUUGCUCACCACUAGGGGUAGAACAAGUAUAUAAGGACCAAGAUAUAAGGAUCAAGAUAUAAGGACCUUUGUCUACCACUCGGGGUCUGACAAAGUCUAAGAAUGACACUUGCCUACCACGAAGGGCCUGACAAAGUCAAAAGAUGACAUUCGCCUACCACGAAAGGCUUGACGAAGU